UGAGGUCUGGUUCGAUCAGAAGCAGGGAAGGGCGACCCCCAUUUCUCCAAAACCCUAACAUUCACAAAAGCCACAAAUUGAAGGCUCAAAUCAUGACCAAAUCGAUUUUCAAGCAUAAAUUAAUGAUCACCUAGUUGAGGAGAUCAUAAGGCAAGGAAUCCGGAACGUCAAGUGGACACGCCAGAGGUGAUGCUCGUGGAAAAGGUGUGCUUUAAAGGUAUGGAUGAGGACCUCUCGGAUGAUGAUCAAGUACAUUGUAAAGAACCGAACACGUAUUUUGAAGCUUCCGCACUAAACUAAAUCUUGUCUAGACUUUAAUCAUGUUGUAAAUGUUUUGUUAAUCGUGUUUUGAAUCCUUCAAACUAGUUGUUAGUUGACUAGUAAGGAUUAACUUUAAACUUGUUAUGCAUUAACUUAUGUUUGUUUUGGGUACUACAACAAGUAGGUUUGGUCUUUAAACACGAAAGUUUUUGUAAACUCUGAUUAGUAUUUAUUUAAUAUAAAUACUUAGUUAAAUUC